CAGUCGCCGCGGGAAUACGUAGGUGGCAAGCGUUGUCCGGAAUUAUUGGGCGUAAAGCGCGCGCAGGCGGUUUCUUAAGUCUGAUGUGAAAGCCCCCGGCUUAACCGGGGAGGGUCAUUGGAAACUGGGAGACUUAGAGUGCAGAAGAGGAGAGUGGAAUUCCAUGUGUAGCGGUGAAAUGCGUAGAUAUAUGGAGGAACACCAGUGGCGAAGGCGGCUUUCUGGACUGUAACUGACGCUGAGGCUCGAAAGCCAGGGGAGCGAACGGGAUUAGAUACCCCCGUAGUCCCUGUCUCUUAUA
rnacentral:rRNA from 1 species